rnacentral:rRNA from 1 species
GAUGAACGCUGGCGGCGUGCCUAAUACAUGCAAGUCGAGCGAACAGAUGAGGAGCUUGCUCCUCUGACGUUAGCGGCGGACGGGUGAGUAACACGUGGAUAACCUACCUAUAAGACUGGGAUAACUUCGGGAAACCGGAGCUAAUACCGGAUAAUAUAUUGAACCGCAUGGUUCAAUAGUGAAAGACGGUUUUGCUGUCACUUAUAGAUGGAUCCGCGCCGCAUUAGCUAGUUGGUAAGGUAACGGCUUACCAAGGCAACGAUGCGUAGCCGACCUGAGAGGGUGAUCGGCCACACUGGAACUGAGACACGGUCCAGACUCCUACGGGAGGCAGCAGUAGGGAAUCUUCCGCAAUGGGCGAAAGCCUGACGGAGCAACGCCGCGUGAGUGAUGAAGGUCUUCGGAUCGUAAAACUCUGUUAUUAGGGAAGAACAUAUGUGUAAGUAACUGUGCACGUCUUGACGGUACCUAAUCAGAAAGCCACGGCUAACUACGUG